rnacentral:rRNA from 1 species
UUACUCCUACGGGGGGCAGCAGUGGGGGAUAUUGCACAAUGGGGGAAACCCUGAUGCAGCGACGCCGCGUGGGUGAAGAAGCGCCUCGGCGCGUAAAGCCCUGUCAGCAGGGAAGAAAAUGACGGUACCUGAAGAAGAAGCCCCGGCUAACUACGUGCCAGCAGCCGCGGUAAUACGUAGGUGGCGAGCGUUAUCCGGAUUUAUUGGGCGUAAAGUGUGCGCAGGCGGUUUAUUAAGUCUAAGAUUAAAGCCCGGAGCUUAACUCCGGUUCGUCUUAGAAACUGGUAGACUUGAGUAUGGUAGAG